UACAUAUCUACGUCCAAGCAAUCUGUUUUUCUUCAACGCCUGUGCUACUGAAAAACCCGAGAAGAAUUCAGGUGAAAAUCGUGAACCAUAAUCUAAACUUUUCGAAAUCAACCUCAGAGGAAUAUAGUGAGAUCCUACUUUGAGAUUCUGGUUUUUGAUUCGAGAAAAAGAUGGUGAAGUUCGUGAACCCUUGGGUUAGUCAAUCCCAGUAGUGAAUUAAGAGAAAUCAAAAGGGGGAUUUUUGCUCUUCAUGUUUUGAGAUUGAAGGUUAACAGUGUCUUUGGAUUCGAUAGGCGAACUACAUAAGUUAAGGUUUGAGUUGCGAUUAGAGUGGCAGGUGACUGUGAUGUAAGUGGUGUGGACUUGGGCGAAGGAGAGAUUGACGUUUGGGUCGAGUAAAGUGUUUGGUUUGUGUAUAGGGUGGUAGCUGCCGAUAACUCUUUUGGAAGCAGUUCUGUGUAUAUAGUCUCCUAGAUGGAUGUACUUUUGUUUGUAUGUAAAGUACUAACUAGUGAAUAGUGUAUAAUUAUCUAUCUCCAACUCUUUGUAAGAAAAUAGCUAGUAAUGUACUGAAUAUAGCUAUCUUGGAUCCAGAACUGUUUUCUCUUG